rnacentral:rRNA from 1 species
GAUGAACGCUGGCGGCGUGCCUAAUACAUGCAAGUCGAGCGAACAGACGAGGAGCUUGCUCCUCUGACGUUAGCGGCGGACGGGUGAGUAACACGUGGAUAACCUACCUAUAAGACUGGGAUAACUUCGGGAAACCGGAGCUAAUACCGGAUAAUAUAUUGAACCGCAUGGUUCAAUAGUGAAAGACGGCUUUGCUGUCACUUAUAGAUGGAUCCGCGCCGCAUUAGCUAGUUGGUAAGGUAACGGCUUACCAAGGCAACGAUGCGUAGCCGACCUGAGAGGGGGAUCGGCCACCAUGGAACUGGAACACCGUCCAGAGUACUAAGGGAGGCAGCAGUUGGGAAUGUUCCGCAAUUGGGGAAAACUUGACGGAACAACGGCGCGUGAGUUAUGGAGGUCCUCCGAUCGGAAAACCGUGUUUUUAGGGAAGAACAAAUGUGUAAGUAACUAUGCACGUCUUGACGGUACCUAAUCAGAAAGCCACGGCUAACUACGUG